CCUACGGGUGGCAGCAGUGAGGAAUAUUGGUCAAUGGGCGGAAGCCUGAACCAGCCAAGUCGCGUGAGGGAUUAAGGCCCUGCGGGUCGUAAACCUCUUUUGCCGGGGAGCAGUGGUCCGGACGAGUCCGGGCCGGGAGAGUACCCGGAGAAAAAGCAUCGGCUAACUCCGUGCCAGCAGCCGCGGUAAUACGGAGGAUGCGAGCGUUAUCCGGAUUUCUUGGGUUUAAAGGGUGCGUAGGCGGGCAUUUAAGCCGGCGGUCAAAUGUCGGGGCUCAACCCCGGCCUGCCGUCGGAACUGGGUGCCUUGAGUGGGUGAGAAGUAUGCGGAAUGCGUGGUGUAGCGGUGAAAUGCAUAGAUAUCACGCAGAACCCCGAUUGCGAAGGCAGCAUACCGGCGCCCGACUGACGCUGAGGCACGAAAGUGCGGGUAUCGAACAGGAUUAGAUACCCCUGUAGUC
rnacentral:rRNA from 1 species